GCCUUCGCCUCCACCUAGUGACU
rnacentral:siRNA from 1 species